rnacentral:lncRNA from 1 species
GAAUAAUUAAGGAGAAAUAAGAUCACGUCAGAAGCGUCUUCGGUGGUUAUAACUGAUUUGUUUGCAUGAUUUAAAGUUAUUUUUGCAUCGAUGAUUGGAAUAAUUGAGCUAGGGUGGACUUAAUUGAUUGCUGGAAUUCUUUAUUAAUUGUUGGAAUUUUAUAUUUAUUUUUCUUUAGGAUUAAAACCUUCGCAAUUCUUUUGAAUUUUAUUUAUUUAUUUUUAGAUUUAGUAUUUUCUCAUAUUUUCCCCAUAAAUCUCGUUUCUGGAGUUUAUUUGCAGGUUGGAUUUUAGGAGAAUUCUCACCGAUCCCUUGGGAGACGAUUUUGCUUACUGCUGUCUGCGCAGUGUGGGCAUACCGGCUGACUGCCGGAUAUUUUUGGUGUAAAACGACGCACCAAAUUUUGGCGCCGUUGCCGGGGAUCGGUUUUUAAGUAGUAAUUUUCCUAUUAUUUCGAUUUGUUUUUUUAUUUUAUUUAUUUUUGUUUGAGUUUGAUCUAUAGUUGAAAUUGAGAUGUCUGAAGAUGGGGAUGAUGACCGUGAUGACAUUCUGCCACCACCACCGUUGAUAAGAGAGUUGGGCCGCUACAAGAGAAAUCAUCCGCUAUGCAUUGUGUUGCCCACGAUUAAUCAAAAUGCUGAAAUCAAGCCUGACUUUAUUCAAGUUCUUCCAAAAUUCAGCAACUCGCUUGGAGAGAGUGCACAUAAACAUCUUGCUGAAUUUGAUUUAGUUUGCAUUACUU